rnacentral:misc_RNA from 1 species
GAUGAAGAACUCAGCGAAAUGCGAUAAGUAAUGUGAAUUGCAGAAUUCAGUGAAUCAUCGAAUCUUUGAACGCACAUUGCGCCCCCUGGUAUUCCGGGGGGCAUGCCUGUUCGAGCGUCAUUACAACCCUCAAGCUCUGCUUGGUGUUGGGCCCCGCCGCCCCGGCGGGCCCUAAAAUCAGUGGCGGUGCCGUCCGGCUCCGAGCGUAGUAAUUCUUCUCGCUCUGGAGGUCCGGGUGUGUGCUCGCCAGCAACCCCCAAUUUUUUUCAGGUUGACCUCGGAUCAGGUAGGGAUACCCGCUGAACUUAAGCAUAUCAAUAAGCGGAGGA